rnacentral:rRNA from 1 species
UACGUAGGGUGCGAGCGUUAAUCGGAAUUACUGGGCGUAAAGCGUGCGCAGGCGGUUUUGUAAGCCAGAUGUGAAAUCCCCCGGGCUCAACCUGGGAAUGGCAUUUGGGACUGCAAGGCUGGAGUUUGGCAGAGGAGACUGGAAUUCCUGGUGUAGCAGUGAAAUGCGUAGAUAUCAGGAGGAAUACCGAUGGCGAAGGCAGGUCUCUGGGCUAUGAACUGACGCUCAUG